rnacentral:rRNA from 1 species
GACGAACGCUGGCGGCGUGCUUAACACAUGCAAGUCGAACGGAAAGGCCCUGCUUUUGUGGGGUGCUCGAGUGGCGAACGGGUGAGUAACACGUGAGUAACCUGCCCUUGACUUUGGGAUAACUUCAGGAAACUGGGGCUAAUACCGGAUAGGAGCUCCUGCUGCAUGGUGGGGGUUGGAAAGUUUCGGCGGUUGGGGAUGGACUCGCGGCUUAUCAGCUUGUUGGUGGGGUAGUGGCGUACCAAGGCUUUGACGGGUAGCCGGCAUGAGAGGGUGACCGGCCACAUUGGGACUGCGAGAGGGACCAGACUCCAACGGGAGGCAGCAGAGGGGAGUAUUGCAGAAUAGGCGGAAGCCAGAUGCAGCAACGCCGCGUGCGGGAUGACGGCCUUCGGGUUGUAAACCGCUGUCGCCUGUGACGAAGCGUGAGUGACGGUAAUGGGUAAAGAAGCACCGGCUAACUACGUG